rnacentral:tRNA from 1 species
GGUUGUGGCUCAGUGGUAGAGCGUUCGCCUAGUGCAGGUAAGGAACUGGGUUUGAUCCUCAGCACCA